rnacentral:snRNA from 1 species
GCGCUCGCUUUGGCAGCACACGUACUAAAAUUGGAAUGAUGCAGAGAUUAGCAUGGCCCCUGAGCAAGGAUGACAUGCACAUUUGUGAAGCAUUCCAUAUUUUA